rnacentral:lncRNA from 1 species
GACAAAUGCAAUCUUGUCAAUAUAUCUCUAAAAAAUUCCACAAGACAUCAUCGAAUGGCCGAUGUGUUUAUUCUGCCACAGAACUUAAAACACUCAUGAAUGAACUAUCAAACUUUAGUGGAUGCAAGAUUCAAAAAGGUGUUACCGAUAAUUACAUGAAAAUGAACCAAUGAGCUAGCUGGUUUUGACAAAGGAAGUCUUCCAUACGUAGUACUUAUCUGGCUAACUGAAUACCAAAAGAUGAAAAUGAUCGAUCGCUGACCAGAUACGAACCAACCAACUCGUAGCAGUCUGUCUCUAGUGAAUCCUCGAAAAAUUACCCUGGGCGAAGAUCACUGCAUCCCUUAGUGCAACGCCUCCAUGCUGAGGUUCAGAAACGACCUUAUACACUUUGCACAACCACUAUAUUGAUUCACAUCAAGUGGUUGAUCUAGGGCCUCUGCAUCCUCACUACUCCAUGUUGUGGGAUAGUGUACACACAAACUUCAAUUUGCAGAACAACAUGACAUCUUAAACAAAUAGAUGUGUCAUAGCAGUUUUAUGCACAUGAGCAACUUGAUUGCAGAACUAAGAUGCCCAUAACAGAGAGGUGCGGUCUGUAAGAACAUCUUGGAAUUAUGAGCAUCAGCAAGCCACUCCUUUAUCUAUUUUGUAGCAUGCUAGUUCUUGACCAAGCCUGGGAAAAAGGAAAUCAGAAUAGUAGAUUGGAAGAAGCAAAUCCCGAAUAGGACGAACAAGUUCAGAAAAGAACUGUAGAAUCAUGAGCAAAUCUGAAAAAGAGCACCAGAUGGUCAGGACUCAGAUAUGAGCAGGCACAUCAUGAAAUAAAUUCAAAAUAGCUGACGACUGGAACAAGCAAAAAAAAUCUUAGUUUAGGAAAAUAACUUGAUUUUAUUUAAGUUAUCAAUCACUACAUGUGUCUGUUCGAGAUAAUUGAUCAGAAUGUCACGGAUUAGGGAUUUUAUUGACUAUAGCAAACAUGCCCGUGCGUUGCAAUGGGAGAAAAAAAUGCUACACGUCCCUAGUGCAAUAAGCAUAGCUCCAUUUUUUUAUGAAUGACCUUCUUUACACAAUCUACUAAUUAUGUUUGCCCUUAGAAAGAUAUCAUAAAUAAAAAGUGAAGCAAUUACCAUGUUACUGUGGAGUUAGGGGACAUGCAACCAGAGUACAAUUAGAUCGGCUGGUAGUAUCUCCACAAUCCUGAGCUCAACGGACAUAAAAACUACUCCCUCCGUUCUAUAUUAGUUGUCUCUGAAAUGGAUGUAUCUAGACGUAUUUCAGUGCUAGAUACAUCCGUUUGAGCGACAACUAAUAUGGAACGGAGGGAGUACAAAUUUCUAUAAGAAAUGACUAAAAACCGAGGACAUGUACUUCAUGAUGAGCAGUUUAAUUAAUGGUAGUUACUCCCUCCAUCCGGGUUUAUUAGGCCUAAAGACAACUUCUCUUCGACCAAGACACAUAGUAAUUUGCUCACAUUAUUUCUUCCAUUCCACUCCCAAUGCACUUUCUCACAUGCAUGCAGCCAAUGAAAAGCAGGCAUGAAGUGUAUUAAUUUUUCAGCCAUGGCACCAACAACAAUGGCUUUCAGUGCAACCAAUGAAAUGGUUGCAUGCAUGCACCUUUCCAAAGCAGAGCCUUAUAAAAAGGGACACGCUUGUGAUGCUGAGGGGCCUAAUAAACCCGGACGGAGGGAGUAAUUGGUAAUGUAGAAAAUAGUGGGAUUAUGUGUGUACGAUUUUAUACUUAGAUAUAUAGCAGACUAAAAUUAGGUUAAGCUUUAUUCAGAAAAUAAGUAAAUAGGUAAAGCUUUGCCUCCACCUUUUCUACCUCAUUCGAGGUUUCUUCUAUUCUACAGCUGAUCAAUGGCCUCCUAAAGAAAGAACAUGACCAACUUGGCACCUCCAAAUUCCAAGCUCAUUAUUCACAUUGUCGAUCACGUACUGGCGCACAUCACCUCCCCUAACACACAAAGCAAUCCGGUGUUUCCGAUCCACUCCCACUCGACCAACACCGCACAAAUGGUUGAAAUCGCCCCAAAAGAUGAUCCCCUUGCACAGAAUGGCCGGUGUCGGUACUGGCCGGUGUCGUCCACGACAUCCACGCACUCGUCAUUCUUGUAAUGU